CCUAGGGGUGGCUGCAGUGGGGAAUAUUGGACAAUGGGCGAAAGCCUGAUCCAGCCAUGCCGCGUGUGUGAAGAAGGCCUUCGGGUUGUAAAGCACUUUCAGUGGGGAAGAAAGCCUUGGGGCUAAUACCCUCGAGGAAGGACAUCACCCACAGAAGAAGCACCGGCUAACUCCGUGCCAGCAGCCGCGGUAAUACGGAGGGUGCGAGCGUUAAUCGGAAUUACUGGGCGUAAAGCGCGCGUAGGCGGUCUGAUAAGCCGGUUGUGAAAGCCCCGGGCUCAACCUGGGAACGGCAUCCGGAACUGUCAGGCUAGAGUGCAGGAGAGGAAGGUAGAAUUCCUGGUGUAGCAGUGAAAUGCGUAGAGAUCGGGAGGAAUACCAGUGGCGAAGGCGGCCUUCUGGACUGACACUGACGCUGAGGUGCGAAAGCGUGGGUAGCAAACAGGAUUAGAUACCCUGGUAGUC
rnacentral:rRNA from 1 species